GAUGAAGAACGUAGCGAAAUGCGAUAAGUAAUGCGAAUUGCAGAAUCCGUGAGUCAUCGAAUCUUUGAACGCAUAUUGCGCCCUUUGGCAUUCCGAAGGGCAUGCCUGUUCGAGCGUCAUUAUCAGCCCUCAAGCCCCGGCUUGGUGUUGGGCCCCCGGUGGUCGUACCCGACCACCCGCCUCAAAGAUAGUGACGGCGUCCCAGAGGGAACCGGUACGAGGAGCUUUCACGAGCAUGUACGCGGGACGACUCUGUGGGCGACGGUCUUUUUUAACCUUAAUAUAUCAAGUGUUGACCUCGGAUCAGGUAGGAAUACCCGCUGAACUUAAGCAUAUCAAUAAGCGGAGGA
rnacentral:misc_RNA from 1 species